rnacentral:ncRNA from 1 species
AAAAUGUUUUAUUUUAGCAUAAUAAUUUGUUUAUAAUUUAUUUUACAUGUAAAUUUUAGUGGGAAUUUUAAAUUAUUUAAAUAAUAAUUUAAUUUAAUAUAUUCACAGUGAUUAAUAUUAAUUAUUAAAGAGAUUUAGAAUUAGUAAUAUUAUUUAAUAUUAGCAAAAUUUGUGCCAGCUGCUGCGGUUAGACAAAAAAUAUAAAUGAAUUAGUUUAGAUUGUAAUAAAAUAGUUAUUUAAAAGAAAAAAAAAUGAAUUUAUUAGGUGAAAUUUUAAAUUUAUUAAAUUUUAAAAUUAAGUUAUUGUAAUUAUGAAAUUUUAAAAAUAAACUAGGAUUAGAUACCCUAUUAUUUAAAAUGUAAAUUAAUAAUCUAGAAUAGUAUUAGUUAUGUUCUUGAAAUUUAAAAAAUUUGGCGGUAUUUUAGUCUAUUCAGAGGAACCUGUUUUAUAAUUGAUAAUCCUCGUUGGACCUUACUUAUUCUUGUUUAGUUUGUAUACCGCCGUCGUCAGAAUGUCUUUUAAAAGAAAUAAUUUUCUGAAAUUUUUAAUAUAAAUUAUGUCAGGUCAAGGUGCAGCUUAUGUUUAAGUAAAAAUGGGUUACAAUAAAUUUAUUUUUGGAUAAAAAGUUGAAAUAUUUUUUUGAAAUUGGAUUUGAUAGUAAAAUAAUAAAGAAAAAUUGUUUGAUUUUAGCUCUAAAAUAUGCACAUAUCGCCCGUCGCUCUCGUUAUUAAGAUGAGAUAAGUCGUAACAUAGUAGAUGUACCGGAAGGUGUAUCUAGAAAGAC